GUGUUGUAUUUUCCCAUUAGGUCUGGACAUUUCCCUUUCACAGCAGUGUUUUGGGAACACAACAAAACCAACUCGGAUGUAACUUCAUAUAUCCCCGUGUAGAAAAAAAAAAAGUACAUUGAGAUGCCUCCAAACUUUGCAAAUGUUUAUAUAAAAAAAAAUCUGUUCUUUUUUGUAGUCAUCGUUUAAUUUCAAAAGUCAAUUUAUGCAAAGAGACAUGUAACUGCCAAAAUAAAGGAAACGCCAACAUUAAAGUGUCUUAAUUGGGUGUUGGGCCACCAGCAGCCAGAACAGCUUCAAUCCACCUUGGUAGAUAUUUUUUAAUUUUUUAUUGUCGUCCACUCCUAUCAGGAUAGAAACGCUUCCCCAUUGGUUGAUUGGCUGUGUGUUUACUGGCGUUUACCCUGCUCUCUAAGGGGCUGACUGGACCUAAACCAUGCCAGGAGAAUGACCCCCAAACCAUAACAGAACCAGCAGAAUCCUAAUUUACUCCAAGUGUUUCCUUUAUUCUGGCAGUUACAUGCACAUCAUGUACAUCUUCUCCUUCGAGACUCGUCGUCCUAGGUCCGUUUCAGUUGUUCUGAUCCGUGAUGUCGUCCUCAUUCUCUCCUUUGCUGUUAGACGAUCCUAAUACAUUAUUCAUGAUGAUUAUUGUCAAAAUAGUUUUUUAAAAUUGUUUAAAUUUAUUUUUGAGUCACUGUGGAGAAAAGUCUUCCUGAACAUCGUUGUUAAGUACGUUGUGCUUUAGCCGAUAUGCCGUUGAUGUAGUUGUCAGAGAAGAAGAAGAAGGGAACGUCAUGCUUGAGAACCGUCCACCUCCUCUCCAUACCUCCAGCAAUGUCAAAGAGAUACACAAUAUACGACACGUUANNNNNNNNNNCCAGUUCAAUAAUAUCCACUAUUGUCAUUAUUAGAAGGGCUCACCAGUUUUAGAUAGAUUGAGGUUACCAGGCCAUGAAAAAAACCUUUCAUUGGGAUUCUGUUUGUUUUGUUGUGAUCCAAAAUCCCCAAAAGAUGAAUAAAUGGAUAGAUGUGAUAAAUCAAAGGUAUCCAGCUGAAUCAGAGUUCGGGUCUUCCUGUCUUCCGUAAAUCCAAUAGGUGCCGUCACUCGGACGCUCGUCCCUCAUCCCGCAGUGCAGACGGAGUCCUCAACUUGUUGCUCCUCUGUCUGACCUAAGACGACGACGUUUGUUUUUUUGGGGGGAUAUUAAUUCCUGCUGUGUCUCAGAGGAACCAGAGUUUCCAUCGGGCGUGCUUCUUGGAGUCGGCCUUGGCCUUGCGUUUAGGGGUGGAGGUGAAGGCCUCAGGGGGGUAAGGCAGAGAUAAGUGUGGGUCCUCUGAAGGACACAGCCUCUUCAUCAGGGGAUGCAGCUUGUCUUCCUGCUGUUUGAAGUCCAGCUCCACACUGCAAUACACACAGAGAGAAAGAAACACAGAUCUACAAGACACUGCAAUACA
rnacentral:lncRNA from 13 species